CUGGAAUAGAAGAAAGGAGGGUCAUAUCGCCUUUAUAAAACACUUAUAGAGAGGAGACUGGUUGUUCUGCCGGAGAGGAUGUGCUGGCUGCCCAUAGACCAGCCUUUGCUAGUGCCCGGAGACUCCACCGGCAUCGGCCGCAGACCCUCGCCGUGCUCGCUGGCGCAGCUGCUCGCGUCGCGGCUGCGGAGGAUUGGGGACCAGCUGGAGAGGAGCUGGGCGGCGGGGGACGCCGACGGCAGCUGCUGCAGCUGCGGGGACAGAUGCACGACGGCGGGGGUGGAGGUGGAGGUGGUAGCCGGGCCGCGCGGACACUUGAGGGGCUUUCUGUUCACCGUUAUACGCUUCACCGUGCGCGUGCUGUUCGUCGCAGGGCAACACCUGUAGGGCGCGAGGCGGCGACACCAGCAACAGAUGGUGCCUUUGGGACCAUACAGGACGAAUGGGCUCAUAUCAUUUGCACUAAAAGCAAGAGGAUGCUGGAGAGUCGGAGGAAUGCGGUCGAGGAAAAGUUGCCGUGCAUCGGAGGAGGAAGCAGGGUGUAGUGUGUGUUGCAGCGUUGAAACUGUGCUUCUGACAGAACUCCAUGUGUCAUGAAGACUUUCCUCAGGCCCAGUGCGGAUGAUGCACUGGGGGUUUGAUAAUGAGCUGACACGCAGCUCCCAUGUGCCCAGUGCUGCAGCCAGUCAGUCAGUGUGUAUGUCCCUACCCCUGCGUGACUCUCCAAUUCUGUCAUCCUGGUUACAAAACAGUGAUGUAAUCUUCCCCUGGUACAGUGAAGGGAAAAGCUUACUAAUGUGACUGCUGUGAAUGUUCACCUCCCACAAUGACAUGGGAGCUAAAUACUGAUCAGACCUUCAUGUUGUAUCCAAACUGAGUGCAGUAAUCGUAAAAAAUACACAGAAACAGACCUGUUUUAAGCUUCACCAUCUUUACAUAAGCUAUACUGUAAGUGUAAUUGUAAAUAAUGAGAGGAUGAAUGUUUUUUUUUAAAAACAUAUAUAUAUAUAGAUGUUUUCUACAGUGUCUAGAUGAUGUUUACACUCUUCUUUAGCGUUAUCUGUUGGGGGCAGUGUUAAAUGGCUUUUUUAAAAUCAUAAACAUAAUACAGGACCUGUGCAUUGAAUGCUCUGCUGUUAAAGCUGUCUGUGAUUCCUGGAAGUAAGCUUUCUUAUAGAAUAUGUAAUGUGAUCACUUUUACUGAAACUGUCUUUUAUAAAGUGUGUGCUAUUUAUACUUCCUACAUAUUUCUUAAGAAUUUUUAAAUUAAUAAAAAUGUUUCUGAAAUAAA